GUUAACCCGGGUUAGUGGAUUGCUCGCUCCACUAACCUGGGCUAAGGGGUGGACUACCUAAGCGGGAUAACCACUUGUAAGCCACCGGGCUCGCUUGUGAGCCCAGUGGUUUACACGAGCAGCAAAAUCAGGCUAGGCUCUCCUAGCCCGAUUUUUGCUGCUCGUGAGAAUAGCCUCAUAAUCUAUCAUGGCAAAUGUCAUCACACAAAUAUCACAGGCACCUAUUGGACAGUGCCUGUGGUGCGUACUGACACGAAAUAUGAGCCGCCACCCCCACCGCCCUCAUAAUGUCAUGAGUAUUUUUGUUGUUUCCUGAUUCUCUUUACUUUGCCAGACACCUCAACACUUUAAAAUGGAAGUGGUAAUCUAGCAAUACCUUUUCUAUAGAGGAGGGUUGAGCAGCUUCAAAGUGCCCCGAUCUGCCAUUGCUCUUUGGAACCAAACGAAUUGUAAGCAAGGUAGCCAGCGCUGUAGCUGCCCCCUCCAUUUCUUUCAGCAGUUGUGUGUCCCUCCUCUUCUGUACCAACCAUUGAAUGAAGAGCAAACAGCAUGGUCCCGUCCCGUCCCGUCCCCCCGCCCCGCGCGCACGCACACACACACACACACACACACACAGAGUAAAGGUACUGCCCAUGUGGACUGGAUAUUAUGCUUUUAGCAACAUGGUACUUGCUGUGCUGUGGAUGAAAUGAGGUUGCAGCAUGUAUUGAUUGAUCAUCUGGAAAAGCUCAUUCUGCAUUCUAUGGCUUGGAUCCAAAGAACCGUGAGCAGAAGGAGAAAAUCUUUUAGAGCUACACCAUGCACUCUUGUGCAAGCUCUAGCGGAAGACUUUUCACAGUGCAGGCAUCACACCGUGUAUCGUGCUUCGUAGUACAAGAAACAUGACUGGCAGUGGCUCUCCAAGGUUUCAGGAAGAAGUUUCCCCCAGUCUUAUCUAGAGAUUGAAGGGGUUGAACCUGAGUCCUUCUGAAUACAACACAGAUGUUCUACCACUGAGCUCUAAUCCCAUCCUCUAUGUGCAAGUGCAUGUGUACAAGCAAGGAAAUGCACUGAAACACAGUGGGGAGGUGAUCCUCCCUCCUCCCUCCACUCAGAUGGAGCCGAGAGCCAAGAAAAUUGUUGCAUUGCCAUCAGGGUGAGAAAGGUUUGCUGGAGUACCUGCUGAAACUGCUGCACUUAGUUUAUUUCUCCCAUUUCGGGGCAGCACUGUGCAUUGUAGAGAUGCAUCCAGCAGAAAUUAACCAAGCUUUAGCGAGUGAGUAGGGAAAUUGCACCUGUUGAAUUUCUGCCUAGAUGCAUCCCUUACCAGCCCAAUGCUGAGCUGAAAGCAAAGUGUGGUUGCAUGCAGCCUAAUUUGUAAAGUCAGCAUAAUGUAUGACGGGGUAGGCAACCUUGUCUAUCCAGCUGUUGUUGAACUGCAACUCCCAUCAUCCCAGCCACAAUAUAUUGGAAUUGGGGAUGCUGGGAAUUGUAGUACAACAGCAGCUGGAAAGCCAAGAUUGCCUACACCUGUUAUAUAAGAUUGUAAAAGUCUUUACAGACUUUAGAUUUUUAAAUUUGAUUUUUAAAACUCACAAGUUUUAAAUGGUUUUGUAUUGUAUCUCAUUUUUGUGUGUGUGUGUGUGUGUGUGUGUGUGUGUGUGUGUUUUGUGAUGUUAUGUAUGUGGUUUUAAGCUGAUAUUUUAUUGCAGUAUUGUUACGGCAGUAAGCUUUUCUUUGAUUAAUUUUAAAAUUUUACUGAUUAUUUAUUCGUGGAUAUUUAUCUAUAUAUUUACAUAUUUCCUUUUUUCCAGUUGUAUCUUUCUAUGUUAUGAGAUGUGAUGUUAUGCUGACCUUGGGUCGCAAAUAAAGAACUUUGCAAUUUGA